GGCUUCCGGAGCUAACGCGUUAAGUCGACCGCUGGGGAGUACGGCCGCAAGGUUAAAACUCAAAUGAAUUGACGGGGGCCCGCACAAGCGGUGGAGCAUGUGGUUUAAUUCGAUGCAACGCGAAGAACCUUACCUGGUCUUGACAUCCAGGUGCUGCAUGGCUGUCGUCAGCUCGUGUUGUGAAAUGUUGGGUUAAGUCCCGCAACGAGCGCAACCCUUAUCCUUUGUUGCAACUCAAAGGAGACUGCCAGUGAUAAACUGGAGGAAGGUGGGGAUGACGUCAAGUCAUCAUGGCCCUUACGACCAGGGCUACACACGUGCUACAAUGGCGCAUACAAAGAGAAGCGACCUCGCGAGAGCAAGCGGACCUCAUAAAGUGCGUCGUAGUCCGGAUUGGAGUCUGCAACUCGACUCCAUGAAGUCGGAAUCGCUAGUAAUCGUGGAUCAGAUGCCACGGUGAAUACGUUCCCGGGCCUUGUACACACCGCCCGUCACACCAUGGGAGUGGGUUGCAAAAGAAGUAGGUUACCACUUUGUGAUUCAUGACUGGGGUAAAGUCGUAACAAGGUAACCGA
rnacentral:rRNA from 1 species